rnacentral:rRNA from 1 species
GAUGAACGCUAGCGACAGGCUUAACACAUGCAAGUCGAGGGGUAGAAGGCUUCGGCCUUUGAGACCGGCGCACGGGUGCGAAACGCGUAUACAAUCUACCUAUUACAGGGGGAUAGCCCAGAGAAAUUUGGAUUAAUACCCCAUAGUAUUAUAGAGUGGCAUCAUUUUAUAAUUAAAGUUGAGGCGGUAAUAGAUGAGUAUGCGUCCUAUUAGCUAGUUGGUGAGGUAACGGCUCACCAAGGCUACGAUAGGUAGGGGUCCUGAGAGGGAGAUCCCCCACACUGGUACUGAGACACGGACCAGACUCCUACGGGAGGCAGCAGUGAGGAAUAUUGGUCAAUGGACGCAAGUCUGAACCAGCCAUGUCGCGUGCAGGAAGACGGCCUUAUGGGUUGUAAACUGCUUUUCUAUAGAGAGAAACCCCCGGUCGUGAUCGGGGCUGACGGUACUAUAGGAAUAAACACCGGCUAACUCCGUG